rnacentral:rRNA from 1 species
AUUAUUUUAAGCUAUAUAUUAGGAGUAAAUAAAAUUUAUGAAAUUAAAAAAUUUUGGCGGUAUUUUAAGCUUAUUAGAGGAAUUUGCUCUGUGAUGGACACAACGCCUUAAUCUUACUUAAUUUAGUAAUUUAAAUCAGUUUGUAUACCACUAUAUUAAUUAUAUUGAAUAGUUAUAUUUAAAAUUUUUUUUAAAAAAUAUAUUAAGUCAAGGUGCAUCUAAUAAUUAUGAAUGAAGUGAAUUACAUUAAUUUUAAUGUAAUUUUUUACAUGAAAAAAUUAAUUAGGAUUUAAUAGUAAAAUACUAAUAUUAUGAGUAUUGAAUCAG